UGCUGUGAAGGUAUUUUUGUAGAUGUGGUUAACAUCUAUAUUCCGUUGACUUUAAGUGAAGAAGUUACCCCUCGAUAAUGUAGGUGGGCUUCAUCCAAUCAGUUGAAAGCCUUCAGAGCAAAAACUGAGGCUUCCUGGAGAAGAAAUACUGCUUUAAGCCUACAGCUUCUAACCUGCCAACCUGUGCUACAGAUUUCAGGCUCGCCAAAUACUGCAAUCAGGUGGAUUAUUUACCACAGACCCACCAGGGAAGCCUCCUCUCUCUCUGGGACCCUCAUGUGUGUGUUGGUAGAGUUGAUGGAGUCCUUAAUGUUUGGGGAGCUGUCUUCCAUGUGGCCAGUCAGCCCUGGAAGAGUUCCAGUAAUCGGUUCUGAGGCUUGGAGAAGAUAAGGUGAAUUAAAGGAGGGGGUGAGAUGCCUUGGGAGAUGGAAAAGGGAAGCCAACCAGGCCAGCCACCUCCUGGGUCACUCACGGUGCUAGAAGACAUCUGCCUUCACCCACCGUCCCAUGAGCACGUGGCUGUCAGGCUGGAGAAGACUGACUCCUGCUUCCCAUGCGGUGGAACUGCUCACACCUCUGUGUGCCUCAGAAUCACACCGGAUGCUUGAGUUUCAUGCUGUCAAGCCAGACCAGAAGAGGCUGAUUCACAGGUCUGGGCUGGAGACUGGAAAGUCACGGUGUUAACAGUAACUCUCAGUCAUGUCUGACUCUUUGUGACCCCAUGGACUGUAACCCACCAGGCUCCUCUGUCCUUGGGAUUUUUCAGGCCAGAAUAUUGGAGUGGGUAGCCAUUCCCUUCUCCAGGGGAUCUUCCCAACCCAGGGAUCGAACCCAGGUCUCCCGCACUGUAGGCAUCUUCAUGGUGAUCCUACGAGAUAGGAGUGAGUAUUUCUUAUCCCCAGUUUACAGAUAAGAAAACUGAUAAAGAAAGUCUACAGUUGACCGAGACCCUAGAGUUAGGAAAUUGCAGGCCUGGGACAUCAGCACAAUUAGACAUUGGGGUCCUUUCCACAAAGAGUUUCUGAUUAGAAAAAGAAAGUGUAAGGAAAAAAGGCAGUCAUCUGGAGAGUGGGCAUUGGAGUCAUGGUUCAAGGUCAGGAGGCUGCUUCAGAUCCCAGACUCAGAUCCGGCUGAUGCAAGCAGAUCCCUGGUCACAUUCAGAAGGCUGCCAAGCCAGUGGGUGAGCUGUGUAGGACUCUCCAGGGAGCUUCCUAAAUUCCCCUCCCUCUGGACUUUGAUUCCUUGAAGGCCCAGGAAUCUGUAUUUUCAUGAGCAUCCCCCACCCCCAGGAGAUUCUGAUGCUCAGUGAAGUUUGAGAACCAUUAGGAGAACAGGACUCUGAGGCAGGUGGCUUGGCUGUGCAUCUUAGCUCUGCCACGUAACAUCUCUGUGUUGUCACUCAUUCAUUCACCUAAUUAACAAAUAUUCCAGUACUUACUUGUCCAAUGGUACUGGAUGCUGGAAAUUGAAUAACCAGUAAAACAGACAAAAAUCCCUCCUUUCAUGGAGCUUACCCUCUGGUUUAUCAGAAGGUGACCCUUGCAACAAGGAAAAAUGAAGCAGUCAAGUUGGCUGGGGGCAUUACAGCUUUAAACAUAGUGGCCAGCAAAAGGACUCUUCGGGAAGAUGAUUUUGAGUAAAAAUCUGAGGAGAGAGAGGUUGGUGAGGGACCCGUGGGAGCAGGGCUCCUGGCAAAGGGAACAGCCAGUGCAAAGGCUCAGAAGUGGGAGUGGGCUUGGCAGGUUGAGGAGAGUGUGGCUAGGGUGGACAAAAGGGAGUCAGUGAUGGGGCAGGGGUACAAAGAAAGUCGGGGGGCUGAAAAGGACACUCUGUCUAGAACCCCAUAGGCCGCUGGAGGACUCUGGCCUUUACUCCGCGUGAGACGGUCAGCUUUUGGAAGGCUCUGAAAGAAGUGGCCUGAACCGUCCUCAAGCCCACGCUGGCUGCUGGGCGGAUAACAGAUAACACAGCAGGAGGAGGACAGAAGCAUGGACACCAAUCAGGAGCUGACCAUGAUCAUCCAGAUGGUAGAUGACCUACCAAGAAGAUCAGGCAGCCUAACUCAUGGGAGUUGGCCUCAACUGUGGGAACAGCCUCGGAUGCCUUUUGGGAUCAGGAGUACAGCCUUUUGGUGACUUGCUUUGCUGGGACUAAAUCUCAACCAGGGACAUUUGGAAAUGUUUGCAAACAUUUUCAUGAAUGGGAGGCAUGGGGGAGGAGGUGGCUACUGGCCUCUAGAAGUCACGGAUGCUGCUAAUAUCCAGAAUAUGUAGGCCAGUCUCACCUCCCUCACAAAAGAAUUGUUUAGUUGCUCAGUUGUGUCUGACUCUUUGCGACCCCAAGGACUAUAGCCCACCAGACUCCUCUGUCCAUGGGAUUUCCCAGGCCAGAAUACCGGAGUGGAUUGCCAUUUCCUUCUUCAGGGGAUCUUCAGGACACAGGGAUCAAACCCGCAUCCUGCAUUGGCAGGCAGAUUAUUUACCACUGAGCCACCAGAGAAGCCCCUACAAAAGAAUUAACUGGUUCAAAAUGUAGAUAAUCCCCAAGACGAGAGACCAUGAGAUGAAGAAAGGAAAGGUAAAGUUGCCAUCCCAAACUCCAACAAUGUCAUAAACAAAAUUGGUGGUUUGAGAAGGAAAAUGUCCACACUCUAAUAAAUGUGAUGGGCCCUGGAAGGACCUCGCGAUGGAGCUCAUAAAAAGAUGCUCAGGAGAACAAGUAUGCACUGCUUUAGGUUUAUUUACCAAAACGACCCUUCUUGGAGGCGAUGAUCAUCCUGCUGUCUUCACUGAAGGCUGUGGGAAUGCCUUUUCUUCGGGCUAAAGAUUGUGUUUGCCUAGACUGCGAUGGGGUGUUCUAAGAGCAGGGCAAGUCUGUCUGAAGAUGUUUUACUCUGGGAAAAUUAAUGAGCCAGACAAUGCAAAGGAAAAGAGACAAACUGUUCUUUUGGUUCCAAAUAAAUGCUUGUUUUCUGCCACUGCCUGAA